CCAACCUUGCCGGAACUAGAAAGCUAUCUAAGGCAAUGUCAUUAGAACCUAUCAUGUCACAUGUGUAAAGGUUAGGCACCAAGGUACGGAUGGCGACGCCGUGACGAAAGCCAUGGAACUAGAGGUAGGGUAGACACAAUAUAUGUCUAUUUAGUAGUCCUUAGUUAGUUCACGUCAAUGUUUUUAUUUUUUCAUUAUUUUAUCCAAACUUUACAUGAUUUAUUUUUCGCAU